AGAGUUUGAUCCUGGCUCAGAUUGAACGCUGGCGGCAGGCCUAACACAUGCAAGUCGAGCGGAUGAGUGGAGCUUGCUCCAUGAUUCAGCGGCGGACGGGUGAGUAAUGCCUAGGAAUCUGCCUGGUAGUGGGGGACAACGUUUCGAAAGGAACGCUAAUACCGCAUACGUCCUACGGGAGAAAGCAGGGGACCUUCGGGCCUUGCGCUAUCAGAUGAGCCUAGGUCGGAUUAGCUAGUUGGUGAGGUAACGGCUCACCAAGGCGACGAUCCGUAACUGGUCUGAGAGGAUGAUCAGUCACACUGGAACUGAGACACGGUCCAGACUCCUACGGGAGGCAGCAGUGGGGAAUAUUGGACAAUGGGCGAAAGCCUGAUCCAGCCAUGCCGCGUGUGUGAAGAAGGUCUUCGGAUUGUAAAGCACUUUAAGUUGGGAGGAAGGGCAGUAAGUUAAUACCUUGCUGUUUUGACGUUACCGACAGAAUAAGCACCGGCUAACUUCGUGCCAGCAGCCGCGGUAAUACGAAGGGUGCAAGCGUUAAUCGGAAUUACUGGGCGUAAAGCGCGCGUAGGUGGUUCAGCAAGUUGGAUGUGAAAGCCCCGGGCUCAACCUGGGAACUGCAUCCAAAACUACUGAGCUAGAGUACGGUAGAGGGUGGUGGAAUUUCCUGUGUAGCGGUGAAAUGCGUAGAUAUCGGGAGGAACAUCUGUGGCGAAGGCGGCCAUCUGGACCAGCACUGACAUUGAGGCACGAAAGCGUGGGAAGCAAACAGGAUUAGAUACCCUGGUAGUCC
rnacentral:rRNA from 1 species